GUAAGGUGCAAGCGUUAUCCGGAAUUAUUGGGCGUAAAGCGUUCGUAGGCGUUUUGAUAAGUCUUCUGUUAAAUCCACCCGCUCAACGGGUGACUCGUGGAGGAAACUAUCAAAAUAGAGAAUGGUAGGGGCAACUGGAAUGUCGCAUGUAGGGGUAAAAUCCGUUGAUAUGCGAUGGAACACCAAAAGCGAAGGCAGGUUGCUGGACCAUUUCUGACGCUGAGGAACGAAAGCGUGGGUAGCGAACAGGAUUAGAUACCCUGGUAGUCCACGCCGUAAACGAUGGAUACUCGAUGUAGGGAGGAAUCGACCCCUUUCUGUGUCUAAGCUAACGCGUUAAGUAUCCCGCCUGGGGAGUACGGUCGCAAAGAUUA
rnacentral:rRNA from 1 species